rnacentral:pre_miRNA from 1 species
ACCGCUGAGCCAUCUCUCCAGCCUCCUAGUUACAUUUUCUAUUUUAAAAAAAGACAAACCAGGGACUGGAGAGAUGGCUCAGUGGU